rnacentral:rRNA from 1 species
CCUACGGGAGGCAGCAGUGGGGAAUAUUGGACAAUGGGGGAAACCCUGAUCCAGCGACGCCGCGUGAGGGAUGACGGUCCUAUGGAUUGUAAACCUCUUUUGUCAGGGAGCAAAGGGCGCCACGUGUGGCGUUUUGCGAGUACCUGACGAACAAGCAUCGGCUAACUCCGUGCCAGCAGCCGCGGUAAUACGGAGGAUGCGAGCGUUAUCCGGAUUUAUUGGGUUUAAAGGGUGCGCAGGCGGAAUGUCAAGUCAGCGGUAAAAUUUCGGGGCUCAACCCCGUCGUGCCGUUGAAACUGGCGUUCUUGAGUGAGCGAGAAGUAUGCGGAAUGCGUGGUGUAGCGGUGAAAUGCAUAGAUAUCACGCAGAACUCCGAUUGCGAAGGCAGCAUACCGGCGCUCAACUGACGCUCAUGCACGAAAGCGUGGGUAUCGAACAGGAUUAGAUACCCCGGUAGUC